GGCUAAAUAGCUCAGUGGUAAGAGGAAUUGCUCGGCAAGCGAAAGUUUCAGGUUCGAUUCCCGAUUCAGUGA
rnacentral:tRNA from 1 species